CUACCUGCAGUAUAUUCAGGGCUUUGAGCAGCCUUUUGCAUCCUCUGGCUAUUUUAACAGACAAACAUUUCCUUGGGUGAUUCCCCUGAACACCAAGUUCCCUUUGGCUGAGAGCACAGCAGAAGCAGAACACGCACACCUUAGUUUAAUGUUUGACUGUUUAAUCCUAUGUCUUCUUCCCCGCUAUUUGGACUGCUUCGUUCAGACCUCAACAAGCCUGCAAUGGGAAACAGACAAAUACUUCCUAAAACAAGCAGAAAAGAUCAUUUGAAGCUGGCAUCCUUUCCUAUUCUUUUAAGUGAGGAGCUAGCACACCUUCCGUUAGCAGAAGUGUGUGCUAAUCGUGUAACUACCUAACAGUGGAUGGAGGAAACUGAAGCGUGUUUCUUGAGGUUUGACAAAUAUAAUGCAGAAAAACUUCAUCCAGCUCUUUGUCUUCUUCAACCCUCGCAAAACAAUAAAAAGACAAGGUUUGAUCUGUGGAUUCCUGCCAUUAAGCCUGUGUAAAGGACAAAAAUAUGAGAACUAAAUGGAAAAAUGAACAAAGUCUUUUCAUGGAGAAGAAUUUUUGGAGUACAAGCUGUUGAAGAAGAUGGUAAGUGCUGGGUCCUGCAACCUGAUGUGGCCAUAUGGGCUUGGAGAAAAGUGGCUAGAAAAUUGCCCAGAAGAAUGGACCUAGAAGAUAUUGGCUGGCAGCCGGCUGAACAUGAGCCAGCAGAGUGCCCAGAUCUCCAAGAAAGCCAAUGCACCAGAAAUAGCGUGGCCAGCAGGACUAAAGGAGUGAUUGUUUGUAAAUGGCACUGGUGAGACCACAUCUUCAAUACUGUGUUCAGUUUUAGGCCACAAGAAGGAUAUACAGCUGAUGGAAUGUGCUCAGAGAAGAGCAACAAAACUGUGAUGGGACUAGAAAACAAGACCUAUUAGGAGCAGCUGCUAUGGAAAUAUAUCUUCUCUACCUGCUCUACUACUCCUUUACUCUACUGUUUUUCCUGACUUUGGCAUAUGUCAGGAUAUGUCAGGAAAAAAAUUGCAAUUUUCCUGAAGAUUUUAAAAAUCCUGUAUGGACAUUUGGUGUUUGAAACUCUUUGUAUUUGCAUUUCAAUUUCAUUUAUUUAGAAAACUAAAUAUAUCUUUUUGUUUGCUAGAAGUUUAAUUGUAAUUCUAUGACAAGCUAAUUAAAAGAAAUAGAAUUAAUUUAGCCAGAAAUUGCUGUUUCUGAAAUGUGUGUUUUCUCUUGAAGAAAAAUAAAAGAAAAAAAGCUAACUGCCUAAAACUGUAGGAGAACAUAUAAAAAUAUUUUAUUUUAUUUUAUUUUUUUGUGUGUUUUUUGUUUGUUUGUUUUCCCAGAUGUGAGCCAUGACAUACAAGUAAAUGAUGUACUAUAACAAAAUUGCUCUCAGAACAUUUAUUGUGGCUAUUACAUAGGAGUAAUAUAUCUCAUGUCUUUCACACAUUAGAGUGUAAGUAAACCAGU
rnacentral:lncRNA from 1 species